ACGUGCGCCCGGGGCGCGCGCCUGCGGCGUCGGGGCCGCGGCCGCCUUGGCGGGUGCGUGGGAGUGGGAAAGCGGGGGCCGUGGCGGGUGCUGCGACAGCUGGCGACCCCCGCCCGAUCGGGGGCUGGGGUGCGGGGGGGGGUUUGCAGAAGUAAACCGAGCCUGCAGCUGUCUGCAGUGAGCACGGCCAGCAGUUGUCACGGUCAUGCUGCAGAAGUGCCCAGCUGCGCUAGUGUUACAGAGUCAUGUUGGCGUCCUAGGCCACAGUGCCGGAAUGCUUGUCACCAUUUCCUCGGCAGGCUGCUCUGGCCAUUCCCUCAAGAGGGGGAAUUAAUGAGAAGACGGCGACCAGUAAGCGGGCAAGGAUUGAAGGCAGGUCCGUUGCUCAAAAAUGCGAUUCAAAAUCUGAAGAAACCCUACUCGCCGGUGGUUGGACUGCUCAUUUGCUAAAGCAUGAAAAUUCCCCCGGGAUCCUAAUGCGUGGCUCCAGGCUCCAACAUCUGAAGAAUCCUGGUUUUCUCCGGAGAGGAGUCCACACCUGCCAGUUACAAUAAUAUGCUUAGAUACUGACAGGGACAGAUGUCCAACACAUCUUAUGUGGGGAAAGCCAGACCCCACAAAGCACAGCCAACUGCAGGGUAAUGUAUCUUGAACGCAUUGGUAGAUUAUCUACCAUGCAUAUGUUUAGGCACCAGGAAAGGAAGGAGGGGCCACAGCAUUUGCUGUUCUUUCUUUGUGACGCUGGCGAAAAACCCAAGCCUUGCACUAGACAGGCAGGUGCUUACCGUUUGGAAGGAGAACAAUAACCCAACCCCCUUUUUUUUUAUUUUUUUAAUUUUUGAGACAGGGUUUGUCUGUGUACCUGGUUGUCCUGGAACUCACUCUGUAGACCAGGCUGGCCUGGAAGAAUAACAAUCUUUUUGAGAGAAUACAUUUUCUAAGAGAGCACUGAGAUCAGGACGAGGGGAAAAGUGAAAUCUUGGGCCCUUUGCUUGUUUGUUGUUUAGCAUUUGUAAAAAGAUUAUUUCUUUUUAUUUUGUGUAUAUGGAUGUUUUCCUGCACGUAUGUCUGUGCACCACGUAUGUGCAGUGUCAGUGGAGGUCAGAAGGGGAUGUCAUAUUCUACUGAACUGGAGUUGCAGAUGGUUGUGAGCGUCCAUGUGGGAGCUGGGAACUAAACCAGGUCCUCUGGAGAGCAGUCAGUGCUCUUGACCUCAGAGCCGUGUCUGCAACCCUCUUGAGCAUUUUUAAUGUAUACAUAGUGAGAUGAGGUAACUGCAGGCUUAAGACUGUUUAAGCUCUAGAAAAUGGUCAUGGUUCUCUGAUGGGAAUUUUGUUACAGUUUACAAAUAUGUGCAUAUAAAACGUGUCCAUUUCUACAGAAAAACAAUCUGGAUGCAUGCACUCAAAUGUCACUGUGGUUCUGUCCCUGAGGGCUGGGAGUUCCACUUUCACUUUGCUUAUUCCUCUCACUUUUGAUAUGUUUACAGUGAGUAUUUGUAGCCAGGGAAACUGAAGAUUACCCCAGAACGAAGUGCUGCCCAUGGUAGGUAGGCCUUGUCCAGGAACAGCUGCCUCAGUUCUUCAGGCCUCAAGUCCAGGACUGCCAUCUCUCCCUCAGGCCCUCUCCCCAGGCUCAGCAUUACUCACAGCAUUGGUCUCCAUUUCCUAGGUGCUCGUCCUUUGCUGCCUCUGACUUCCAGCCUCACUGCCCACCUCCUGAACCUGUCUGGGCUCAGCUUACAUUCUGAUUAUUAAGACCCCAAACUCUUGAGUUGGGAAAAUUUGUCCAUAGUCCCAGCUCCUCAGGAAGCUGAGGCAGGAGGAUUAUUUGACCUGCCUGAGCAACAUAGGAACCCCAUCUCAGAAGAGAAAGGAAGGAAAAUGGAAAGGAAAAAAAGAGUACAUUUUCCAUUCCCUCCCCCCCCCCCUCCUCCGGCUUACUGAUCCCAUAGAAUUGACAUCACCUUGGACCUUCUAAUGAAACUGUGUCUUUUCCUCCUGAAUGUUUUCUUGUGCAUUUCAGUACUUUAUAUAAAUCCCUUCAAAGGCUAGAUAAGUGUAAAAUUUGGAUGUAAUCAAUUAAUUUUUUUUUUUUUUUUUGAGAUAGGAUUUCUCUGUGUAGUUUUGGUACCUGUCCUGGAUCUCACUCUGUAGACCAGGCUGGCCUCGAACUCACAGAGAUCCACCUGGCUCUAUCUCCCGAGUGCUGAGAUUAAAGGAGUGCGCCACCACCACCCGGUGUAAUGAAUGAAAUAUUUAACAGCGAGUUUUCAAAAGGCUAUGUCUAGGAGAGAUGGCUCAGCAGGUAAAAGUGUUUGCCUCCAAAACCCGGUAACCCGAGUUCAGUCCCUACAACCCACGUACAAUGCUGAGGCGUGGUAAGCCUCUGUAAUCGUAGCUCUCCUAGAGUCAGACAGGGGGUCGGACAGGAAAACUGGCUUAGAGUAUGCUGUGCAGCAGCAGAAAUGGGAGGCCCUGCCUCCACAAGGUGGGAGGCAAGAACCCACCCGGGAAGGCUGUCCUCUGCGUUCUGUGAACACUCCAUGGAAUAUGGAUGCUCCAACCCCAAACACACAGAGUGCCAUGAUUAAAUUUGAAGCAACAGCUGGGCAGAGUAGUACUUAUUUGUAUUCCCAGCACUCUUGAAGUGGAGGUUAAGAGAAUCAGGAGUUCAAGGUCAGCCUUGACUAUGUCUCAAGUGUAAGAUUAGCCUGAGCUAUAUGAGACCCUAUCUCAUAAACAAAAAAGGGACUGGAGAUAUGUGAGAACACUGGCUGCUCUUGCAGAGGACCCUGAUUCGGUUCCCAGCACCCUCACGGUAACUCACAACCAUCUGUAACUACAAUUUCUGCUGACCCAAUACCCCUUUUGCCUCCGUGGGCACUGCAUGCAUGUGGUGUGCAGACAUACAUGCAGGAAAACCACUCAUACAUAAAAGAAAAAUAAGUCCUAAAACAAGACAGUCCAGCAGAGUGGUGCAUGCUUUAAUCCCCUCACUCAAGAGGCAGAGGCAGGUGGAUUUCUGCCAGCUUGAGGCCAUUCUGGUCUAUAUAGCAAGUUCCAGGCCAGCUAGAGCUACAUAAUGAAACCCUAUCUCAAAACAGAAAACAGGCAAAACAAAAGCAAUAAUAAUAAUAAGCAAAAUCUUGGGAGGUAAGCUAGCCUUUUUAUGGCCAAGGAUGCUCACCGGUUUUGUGACUGGAGACAGCGCCUGGAGUGAGUGGUCCCCUCGAAGUGAGAAGACUGCAGUUUCGGAGUGGAGGCCUCUCCAGUGGCACGAGGGGCUUUAGCCAGCUGAGAGGCUGUCUGGAUGGAGCAUUCGUCAGGGCUUGGAACUUCCCGGAGAAAGGCUGUUGGGGCCAGCUGGGAUUUACUUGGGCUUAUCUAGUAAUCCUUGGUCUGGAGACACAGAUUGCUGUCUGCCUUUUUUUUUUUUUUUUUUUUUUUUUUCAUUUGCUAUACCAAGAUAAAACUCCAGUAAAUGAGAUGCCUAGAAGAACUGAAACCCCCAGAAGUAAUGGAUCUUCCCCCAAGGCCACCCAAGCAGAGAGAAAAUGGGGAGGAACAUGGGGUUCCGGGACACAAGAGAGGGGUGGUAUCUGUGGAGACCUUCCAGAAGUCAUGUUGGAAAGGAGCACGAGCCAGACCUCAGGACCAAACUUUGUAUCACCUGGAAAAUUCUUUACUCUCUGUGCCUUCCUGGGUUGUGUUCUUCACAUUUUCUACCCCUGUUUCCAUGGUGAUUAGUAGUAAAUCAGUUACUGGUAAAACAGUAAAAGCUGAAAGAUAAAAUGUAUCUUUAGGGGCAGGCAAAGUACAGGAGCUAAAGAGGCCUGCAAAGCCAUUCCAUCAGGAGAAGAAAGCAGGCUGGCCCCAGAGCGGCUUUCCGGAAGUGGAGGCAUCUGUCCUGGAAAUGAGCUUGGGGCAGAGAAGGUGGGGGCUUGGGGGAGUAGCAGGCUUAGUUUUUGUAAAAUGCCCACCAUUAUUUUAUUUGUCCCUGUAUUGUAUUUAAUUCACACCAAAUUGCAGAUAAUAAAUUUCCCUGUGUUUGUUUUUAUAUUUCUAGCUGAACCAAAGAAUCAUGACUUACAUGAUCCUCUAUUCUGGAGUGCCUGCUAUACACAGCCUGUGACAUCAACUGCUGACUUGAAAUUGGACAUGGUGGGAGGAUUUACACCAUAGAAAUCUCCAGACAUUAAAAAUGGUGCUUUGGUGGAGGGGCUGGAGAGAUGGCUCAGAGGUUAAAAGCACUGGCUGUUCUUCUAGAGGACCUGGGUUCAAUUCCCAGCACUCACAUGGCAGCUCACAACUGUCUGUAACUACAGUUCCUG